CAACAUGAUCACGUUGAGAUCAUAGCUAACGACCAGGGGAAUAGAACGACACCAUCUUAUGUGGGGUUCACUGAUACUAAACGUUUGAUUGGAGACGCUGCCAAGAAUCAGGUCACCAUGAAUCCAACCAACACUGUUUUUGAUUCUAAAAGGUUGAUUGGAAGGCGAUACAGCGAUGCCUCUGUGCAAAGGGACAUGAAACUAUGGCCUUU
rnacentral:misc_RNA from 1 species